GAUGAAGAACCAGCGAAAUGCGAUAAGUAAUGUGAAUUGCAGAAUUCAGUGAAUCAUCGAAUCUUUGAACGCACAUUGCGCCCGUCAGUAUUCUGGCGGGCAUGCCUGUUCGAGCGUCAUUACGCCCCUCAAGUCCCCUGUGGACUUGGUGUUGGGGAUCGGCGAGGCUGGUUUUCCAGCACAGCCGUCCCUUAAAUUAAUUGGCGGUCUCGCCGUGGCCCUCCUCUGCGCAGUAGUAAAACACUCGCAACAGGAGCCCGGCGCGGUCCACUGCCGUAAAACCCCCCAACUUUUUAUAGUUGACCUCGAAUCAGGUAGGACUACCCGCUGAACUUAAGCAUAUCAAUAAGCGGAGGA
rnacentral:misc_RNA from 1 species